rnacentral:rRNA from 1 species
CGUUACCAAGGCGAUGAUGCAUAGCCCGAGUUGAGAGACUGAUCGGCCACAUUGGGGACUGAGACACGGGGCCCAAACUCCUACGGGAGGCAGCAGUAGGGAAUCUUCCACAAUGGACGAAAGUCUGAUGGAGCAAACGCCGCGUGAGUGAAGAAGGUUUUCGGAUCGUAAAGACUCUGUUGUUGGUGAAGAAGGAUAGAGGUAGUAACUGGCCCUUUAUUUGACGGUAAUCAACCAGAAAGUCACGGGCUAACUACGUGCCAGCAGCCGCGGUAAAU